UACAGAGGUCUCAAGCGUUGUUCGGAUUCAUUGGGCGUAAAGGGUGCGUAGGUGGCGCCAUAAGUCAGGUGUGAAAUCUCGGGGCUCAACCCCGAAACUGCACUUGAUACUGUGGUGCUCGAGUACUGGAGAGGAGAUUGGAAUUCACGGUGUAGCAGUGAAAUGCGUAGAUAUCGUAAGGAAGACCAGUGGCGAAGGCGAAUCUCUGGACAGUUACUGACACUGAGGCACGAAGGCCAGGGGAGCAAACGGG
rnacentral:rRNA from 1 species